AGGUCCAGCCUGCCCAGUGACCAUGUUCAACGGCCGCGGUAUCCUAACCGUGCGAAGGUAGCGUAAUCACUUGUUCUUUAAAUGCGGACUAGUAUGAAUGGCACCACGAAGGUUAUACUGUCUCCUUUUUCUAAUCAGUGAAACUAAUCUCCCCGUGAAGAAGCGAGGAUAUACCUAUAAGACGAGAAGACCCUAUGGAGCUUUAAACAACACAGCAAUUACCUGCUAAACUAAGAAGUUUCUGAACAUUUUCAAUCUUUUAAGUAAUCUGACUGCAAGUUUUUGGUUGGGGUGACCACGGAGCAUAACACAACCUCCAUGUUGAAAGAAUUCUUUCUAAGCCAAGAACAACCUUUCUAAGCAUCAAUAUAUUGACAUCCAUUGACCCAAUACAUUUGACCAACGAACCAAGUUACCCUAGGGAUAACAGCGCAAUCCACUUCAAGAGCUCCUAUCGACAAGUGGGUUUACGACCUCGAUGUUGGAUCAGGGUAUCCCAGUGGUGCAGCC
rnacentral:rRNA from 1 species